AUUUUUUCUCCCAUCACUACCGUUGACCUUAACAAAGGCCCCAGGACCAGUUGAAGCAAAAUAGCCCCAUAACAGCAAAGAUCUACCACCAUAUGUUACUGUAACGGCUUUAUUCCGCUGAAGGAGAGGAGGACCAAAAUGCAGCGUGGUUAGUGUUCAACAUCUUUAAUAUUGACGAUAAACGAGAACACUACAAAAUACAAAACAACAAAAGUGAAAACCGAAACAGUCCUAUCUGGUGCAACGACACAAAGACAGAAGACAAUCACCCACAAAAUAUCCAAAGAACAUGGCUGCCUAAAUAUGGUUCCCAAUCAGAGACAACGACAGACAGAAGACAAUCACCCACAAAAUACCCAAAGAACAUGGCUGCCUAAAUAUGGUUCCCAAUCAGAGACAACGACAGACAGCUGCCUCUAAUUGAGAACCAAUCUAGGCAACCAUAGACAUACAAAACUACCUAGAAAGGGCCAGCCCCAUAAUCAUACAAAACCCCUAGACCAGACAAAACACAUAAAUCCCCCAUGUCACACCCUGAAAUAAACAAAAUAAUAAAGAAAACAAAGAUAACUAAGGCCAGGGCAUAACAGUUACUGUGGGUAUGAUGUACUUUUCUGCAGAUGCUUGUUUUUCAACACCAAAACCACCACUGGUGUGCGUGGCCAAAGAGCUCUAUUUUCAUGUCAUCUGACCAUAGCACCAGUUCCAAUCCAAGUGCCAAUGCCAUUCAUCAAAAUUCAGGCGGUGCUGUGAUCUCAUAUAAAUACAUUAAACAAAUUACCUGGUUGCCUCUGCCAGGAGGCUGACACUGGCUGCAAGUGGAUCUUCUAGCGAGACAAUAACCGCAAGCACACAUCAAAAUCCACAAAAAAAUGAUAAUUGACUACAAAAUCUACAUUUGAAUGGCAAUCUCAGUCCUCUGACUUGAAUCCCAUUGGAUUGUGGUUUGAAUUGAAGAGGGCAGUCCCCCCCAAUAUCAGAAGUCAAAUUCAGCUGCACACAGUGC
ensembl:lncRNA